rnacentral:rRNA from 1 species
GUGGGGAAUAUUGGACAAUGGGCGCAAGCCUGAUCCAGCAAUGCCGCGUGGGUGAAGAAGGUCUUCGGAUCGUAAAGCCCUUUCGACAGGGACGAUGAUGACGGUACCUGUAGAAGAAGCCCCGGCUAACUUCGUGCCAGCAGCCGCGGUAAUACGAAGGGGGCUAGCGUUACUCGGAAUUACUGGGCGUAAAGGGCGCGUAGGCGGCUCUGUUAGUCAGGCGUGAAAUUCCUGGGCUUAACCUGGGGACUGCGCUUGAUACUGCAGGGCUUGAGGCAGAGAGAGGGUGGUGGAAUUCCCAGUGUAGAGGUGAAAUUCGUAGAUAUUGGGAAGAACACCGGUGGCGAAGGCGACCACCUGGCUCGGUUCUGACGCUGAGGCGCGACAGCGUGGGGAGCAAACAGGAUUAGAUACCCUGGUAGUCC